rnacentral:rRNA from 1 species
CCCUCGAGUGGGGAAUAACUCCGGGAAACCGGAGCUAAUACCGCAUAAUAUCUUCGGUGCGUAGGUACUGAAGAUCAAAACAGUCAUGUGCUUGAGGAGGGGGUCGCGGCUGAUUAGCUAGUUGGCAGGGUAAUGGCCUACCAAGGCAAAGAUCGGUAUCCGGCCUGAGAGGGCGCACGGACACACUGGAACUGAAACACGGUCCAGACUCCUACGGGAGGCAGCAGUGGGGAAUUUUGCGCAAUGGGGGAAACCCUGACGCAGCAACGCCGCGUGGAGGAUGAAGUCCCUUGGGACGUAAACUCCUUUCGACCCGGACGAUACUGACGGUACGGGUGGAAGAAGCACCGGCUAACUCUGUGCCAGCAGCCGCGGUAAUACAGAGGGUGCGAGCGUUGUACGGAAUUAUUGGGCGUAAAGGGCGCGUAGGCGGUUGGGUAA